CUUGGUCAUUUAGAGGAAGUAAAAGUCGUAACAAGGUUUCCGUAGGUGAACCUGCGGAAGGAUCAUUCAUAAUAAAGUGUUUUAUGGCACUUUUUUAAAAAAUCCAUAUCCACCUUGUGUGCAAUGUUUUUUAGAUCUAGCCAAAAUGAUAUUUUGGUUAGGUUUUAUUAUAUUACAUCAACUCUUAUUUAACUUGAUUUGUCUGAAAAAUAUUAUGAAUUUUUUAACUUAAUUCAAAAUACAACUUUCAACAACGGAUCUCUUGGCUCUCGCAUCGAUGAAGAACGCAGCGAAAUGCGAUACGUAAUGUGAAUUGCAGAAUUCAGUGAAUCAUCGAAUCUUUGAACGCAUAUUGCGCUCUCUGGUAUUCCGGAGAGCAUGCUUGUUUGAGUAUCAGUAAACACCCUCAGAGCUUUUUUUUUUCCUUGAUUUUCGAAUCUUGGGGCUCUGGAUUUGAGUGAUCCCAACGUGGUCUUUUUCGAAAGGACAUGGCGGGCCACUUGAAAUACAGGUGCAGCUGAACUUUCUUCUGAGCUAAAGCAUAUUUAUUUAGUCCUGUCAGCACAUGUGCUGCCGGAUUAUUACUUCUGCUGCAGCUUACAUAAAGGUUGACUGUUCAAAUGCUGACUGAUACAGAAUUUUUAGCACAGAAAGCGCAAGCGGAUCUGUGCUGUUAAACUCGAUCUCAAAUCAAGUAAGACUACCCGCUGACUUAAGCAUAUCAAUAAGCGGAGGA
rnacentral:rRNA from 1 species